AGAGAAAUUUACACUAUUAAAAAUCUUUCUCCCUAUUUAUUUCCCUCUGACAUAACACAACCCCCAAAUUACUUAAUAACUGAGCUACUCCGGAGAAUGUCAUUUCUAAGCAUCUAAAAUUAACACUCCAUAAAUUAUCAUCAGCCUCAGCACCAAGAUAGAUUUGUCCAUCACUUAACUGCAUAAAAAGUUGUAGAGUUGCUAGAGUCAAACACUGUCCCAGGAGCUUGAGGGGAUGAAGCAUGGUAAUUUGCUCAAUCAAUAAAUGCUUGGUUCUUCUUAAAAACCAGAAUUAGGCACCAAGACAUGACAAGCUACUGUUUCUGGGGAAUUAAUCCGUUGCUGGGAUUGGCAUUAGGCAGGAGGCUAAAGGCCAUUAAAACAAGUUUAAAUUAGGAGUUCCCAUCGUGGCGCAGUGGUUAACGAAUCCAACUAGAAACCAUGAGGUUGCGGGUUCGGUCCCUGCCCUUGCUCAGUGGAUGAACAAUGUGGUGUUGCUGUGAGCUGUGGUGUAGGUUGCAAACGCGGCUCAGAUCCAGCAUUGCUGUGGCUCUGGCGUAGGCUGGUGGCUCCAGCUCCGAUUCGACCCCUAUCCUGGGAACCUCCAUAUGCCACGGGAGCGGCCCAAGAAAUAGCAAAAAGACCAAAAAAAACAAAAAAAAAAGUUUAAAUUAAUGUACCAAAAUGACUCAGUCCUAGGAUACUGAUCUUAUCAUAUUGGAAGAGAUUCUAAAAUCUUUAUUAACCAUUAACCUGACUUCCAAGGAAGCAGUCUGUAUCUUUCAUAUUCAGAAUUCCUAUUAGGAAACUCGGGCACUCAGAAGAAGAGGCAAGAAAGAACAAAGAGGAUCAACCUGCACAAAACCUUCAAAGCCUUCGACAUUACCUGAAGGCCUGUGGAACGAACGCUGCUUUGGGGAAAAUUCAAUCCAAUUCAGACAAAGUUACACACUGAGCACACAGGAGCUUGGACUCUUCUGGAUGUUCCCCAAGUCAAAAGCCAAGUUUGAGUCCUGUUUCCCUCAGAGGUGGCCUCUAG
rnacentral:lncRNA from 1 species